UAGGGAAUCUUCCACAAUGGACGCAAGUCUGAUGGAGCAACGCCGCGUGAGUGAAGAAGGGUUUCGGCUCGUAAAGCUCUGUUGUUAAAGAAGAACGUGGGUAAGAGUAACUGUUUACCCAGUGACGGUAUUUAACCAGAAAGCCACGGCUAACUACGUACCAG
rnacentral:rRNA from 1 species